rnacentral:rRNA from 1 species
AGAGUUUGCUUUUGGCUCAGGAUGAACGCUGGCGGCGUGCCUAACACAUGCAAGUCGAACGGACCAAUCGAGACGGAGAUUCGUCGAAGACUCGAGGAGGUUAGUGGCGGACGGGUGAGUAACGCGUGAGCAACCUACCUUUAAGAGGGGGAUAACGACGGGAAACGGUCGCUAAUACCGCAUAAGCCCACAGUGUCGCAUGACACAGGGGGAAAAGAUUUAUCACUUAAAGAUGGGCUCGCGUCCGAUUAGUUAGUUGGUGAUGUAAAGGACCACCAAGACAGCGAUCGGUAGCCGGACUGAGAGGUCAAACGGCCACAUUGGGACUGAGACACGGCCCAAACUCCUACGGGAGGCAGCAGUGGGGAAUAUUGCACAAUGGGGGAAACCCUGAUGCAGCGACGCCGCGUGGGUGAAGAAGUUUUUCGGAAUGUAAAGCCCUAUCAGCAGGGAAGCAAAUGACGGUACCUGACUAAGAAGCCCCGGCUAACUACGUGCCAGCAGCCGCGGUAAUACGUAGGGGGCAAGCGUUAUCCGGAUUUACUGGGUGUAAAGGGAGCGUAGACGGUAUGGCAAGUCCGAAGUGAAAUCGGAGGGCUCAACCCUGACAAGUGCUUUGGAAACUGUCAAACUCGAGUAACGGAGGGACAAGCGGAAUUCCCGGUGUAGCGGUGAAAUGCGUAGAUAUCGGGAAGAACACCGGUGGCGAAGGCGGCUUGUUGGACGAUUACUGACGUUGAGGCUCGAAAGCGUGGGGAGCAAACAAGGUUAGAUACCCUGGUAGUCCACGCCGUAAACGA